GGGUAAUCCGAAUUAGGGUCUGAAUUUAGCCUGGACUGGUAAUUCAGAUCCAAGCUCAUUAGAGUAAUUGUCGUUGCAGGGGAUUUAGCCUGGACUGGUAAUCCCGACAAUACUCUGUGAGUUUAUAUUACAGGGGAUUUAGCCUGGAUUGGUAAUCCCGCUGUAAGGAUGAGGUUCGCGGGAGUGUGCUCUCUGAAAUAGAAAUGUGCGCACAUGAAUAUGAAUUGACGGACCCGGAUUUGUACACUUAGGUGUACCCCUGAAUAUCCAUCGAAAUUCCAAGUAGUUCAACGGGAUAAAUAUGGAAAAAUAACAAGGAAAUGGAAAUCAUGGAAUUGAUGAG
rnacentral:lncRNA from 1 species